GAUGAAGAACGCAGCAAAAUGCGAUACUUGGUGUGAAUUGCAGAAUCCCGUGAACCAUCGAGUUUUUGAACGCAAGUUGCGCCCGAAGCCUUUUGGCCGAGGGCACGUCUGCCUGGGCGUCACGCAUCGCGUCGCCCCCCACAAUUCUCCGUAAAGGGCACAUGUGUUUUGGGGGCGGAUAUUGGUCUCCCGUGCUCAUGGCGUGGUUGGCCGAAAUAGGAGUCCUUUCGAUGGACGCACGAACUAGUGGUGGUCGUAAAAACCCUCGUCUUCUGUUUCGUGCUGUUGCUCGCAAGGUAAACUCUUUAAAAACCCCAAUGUGUCGUCUCUUGACGACGCUUCGACCGCGACCCCAGGUCAGGCGGGACUACCCGCUGAGUUUAAGCAUAUCAAUAAGCGGAGGA
rnacentral:misc_RNA from 1 species